rnacentral:lncRNA from 1 species
GGCCGCGCGGAACCAUGUCGGCCAAGGUGCGGCUCAAGAAGCUGGAGCAGCUGCUCCUGGACGGGCCCUGGCGCAACGAGAGCGCCGUGAGCGUGGAGACGCUGCUCGACGUGCUCGUGUGCCUCUACACCGAGUGCAGUCACUCGGCGCUGCGCCGCGACAAGUACGUGGCCGAGUUCCUCGAGUGGGCAUUGGAUCUUGAAAUCUGUGAGAUUUCACAGCCAGGCUCAGCUGAGUGCACAGAGGUGGGUAAAACUCUACUUAAGGGAGGAAGCAGAGGAAG